UUGGUUUGUCUUAAGCCAAACUUGUUCAAUUUUGAUCAAAUUUAUAUAAAAAUAUAACAAUAUCUACACUACCAAAUAUAUGCAUUAUCAAAAUAUAUUCUAUGAUAGAUUUAAUGAAACAAAUUUGAUAUUGUAAAUUUUGAUAUAUUUCUCUAUAAACCUGGUCAAAGUUGAAUAAGUUUGACUUAGAACAAACAUAA
rnacentral:pre_miRNA from 1 species